CUGUAAUAUUUCAACCUCUCUCAAGAUAUGUCAUGAACAUACAGUUAAGAGUAGCAUAAAAUCCCUCCUUUACCUGUAAAGGGGUAAGAAGCUCAAAUAACCUGGUUGGCACCAGACCAGAAGGACCAAUAAGGAGAGAAGAUACUUUAAGAUCUGUGGGGAAAGGUUUUUGCUUUGUGCUCUGUUGUUGUUCUCUCUGAGACAAAGAAAGAGACCAAGCAGGUA